CACGUAGGGUGCAAGCGUUGUCCGGAAUUAUUGGGCGUAAAGGGCUCGUAGGCGGCUUGGCAAGUCGAGCGUGAAAACUCCAGGCUCAACCUGGAGCUGCCGUUUGAUACUGCCAUGGCUAGAGUCCGGUAGGGGACCACGGAAUUCCUGGUGUAGCGGUGAAAUGCGCAGAUAUCAGGAGGAACACCGGUGGCAAAGGCGCUCAUCUGGCCCAAUACUGACGCUGAGGCGCGAAAGCUAGGGGAGCAAACGGG
rnacentral:rRNA from 1 species